UACAUCUUUUUAUUCUUUUCAGAAAGAGAACUUUAAAAUUCCAAUAGAUUUAAAACUUCAAUUGAUGUUGUAAAUCAAUUGUGAAAUGUUUUUCAAGAUUGUCAUAGAUGAAGUGCAGUGGUUCCUUGGAAAUUUUGAUAGAUGUUAAACGUAGGAUGUGUAGCCGCUGCCAAUGCAUCCAAAAGCCAAAAUUUUCUCCUUCCUCCAGCUGUGUUGCGAGAGAGAAAAGUAUGAAUAAAGCAAUGCAACAAAAAUGGAAGUGAAUGGUUGCCGCAAGAGAAUUGGAAAAUGACAGUUGAUGCUCCCAUCUAAAGAAUGGCAAAGGUGUUAGAAAGACCGGUUUAAAAUCUGCGACAUUCUCAAAAUUUCUGUAAGUGUUUCAACUUGAUAAUAUCCAAGGAACUUCAUAGCAAAAAUGAGAUUAUGCACCAUUAUUUGGCUAAGUUAGCCCAAAGAUCAAGUUUCUUCGUCAAGAGACAAGUUAUCAUGGGCAUCCGGAGGAAUCCAAUUUAUCAGCACCUGAUUUCCUUUCUUUAAGAUGCAAGUCUUCCUCAAAAUCUCUCUCUCUCUCUAUGUGUCUCUCGAGGGGGUGGGGGCGUGGAAUGGAGAAUGAAGCAAAGUAAAUGAUUGUUCUAGAAUAGCUAUUCCUCACAAUUGCUCCAAACAGACGAAACCCUGGAAAGAAUUAGCAACUAAAAAGGAAUUCCGACUCAAAAAGAUGGUACUUUGAGUUUCAACGAGCUAUGGAGUUCAAUUACAAAAUUAUGAACAAAACAUGUAAUGUAACUAAUUUAAAACAUUUACUGAAAAAUACAUAUAAAAUUUAUAAAUUCAUUUUAUUAAUCUCAGGAGAACAUAAUACAUUACUGUAAUACUUUCAACCGCUUAAGCAACAAACAUUUAACUUGAAGUUCGAUUCAAAUUCUCAUGCAAUGAUGAUCAGGUUUUUGAUCAGGGAUGUGGAUAGACUCCGCUUGGGGGUGGUGCCUGUUGAUAGUAAUCAGUAGAUGGUGGUGGGUAGGUUCCACUUGACUGCCCUGCAGGAUUAGUCAUUACAAAUUCAAUCAUACAAGUGUGCAUCAAGGCAGAAUUCUAUUGAAAAAUCUUAGUACUAAGUGUGCAUUUUUUUAGCAACAUGUAAUUGAGAAAACUAUAUAGUACCUGCUGGAGGGUAACNNN
rnacentral:lncRNA from 1 species